AUGCGGCCGGAGCCGGACCGCCAGGGACCGAUGCAGAUGCGACCGGAGCCGGGACGGGAGCGACCCCCUCCUGGAGGUCGGCAGGAGCUACGGCGGGAGCGACCCCCUCCUGGAGGUCGGCAGGAACUACGACGGGAGCGACCCCCUCCUGGAGGUCGGCAGGAACUACGACGGGGAGCGACCCCCUCCUGGAGGUCGGCAGGAACUACGACGGGAGCGACCCCCUCCUGGAGGUCGGCAGGAACUACGACGGGCGCGACCCCCUCCUGGGGGUCCGCCGGGACUGCGGCUGGCGCGACCCCCUCCUGGGGGUCCGCCGGGACUGCGGCUGGCGCGACCCCCUCCUGGGGGUCCGCCGGGACUGCGGCUGGCGCGACCCCCUCCUGGGGGUCCGCCGGGACUGCGGCUGGCGCGACCCCCUCCUGGGGGUGCGCCGGGACUGCGGCUGGCGCGACCCCCUCCUGGGGGUGCGCCGGGACUGCGGCUGGCGCGACCCCCUCCUGGAGGUGCGCCGGGACUGCGGCUGGCGCGACCCCCUCCUGGAGGUGCGCAGGAACUGCGGCUGGCGCAACCUCCUCCUGGAGGUGCGCAGGAACUGCGGCUGGCGCAACCUCCUCCUGGAGGUGCGCAGGAACUGCGGCUGGCGCAACCUCCUCCUGGAGGUGCGCAGGAACUGCGGCUGGCGCAACCUCCUCCUGGAGGUGCGCAGGAACUGCGGCUGGCGCAACCUCCUCCUGGAGGUGCGCAGGAACUGCGGCUGGCGCAACCUCCUCCUGGAGGUGCGCAGGAACUGCGGCUGGCGCAACCUCCUCCUGGAGGUGCGCAGGAACUGCGACUGGCGCGACCUCCUCCUGGAGGUGCGCAGGAACUGCGACUGGCGCGACCUCCUCCUGGAGGUGCGCAGGAACUACGGCUAGCGCGACCUCCUCCUGGGGACCGGCGGGCGCUGCGGCUCCACGGGUGACGGGGACUGGAACGACCGCUACAGGGCCGACAGGAACGGGGACUGGAACGACCGCUACAGGGUCGACAGGAACGGGGACUGGAACGACCGCUACAGGGCCGACAGGAACGGGGACUGGAACGACCGCUACAGGGUCGACAGGAACGGGGUCAGAGACAGGGGUGACCUCUACUUGGCCUACGGGAACGCCCUCAACUUGGCCUACGGGAACGCCCUCAACUUGGUCGACAGGGACAGGAGCUGGAACGACCUCAACUUGGUCGACAGGGACAGGAGCUGGAACGACCUCAACUUGGUCGACAGGGACAGGAACUGGAACGACCUCAACUUGGUCGACAGGGACAGGAACUGGAACGACCUCAACUUGGUCGACAGGGACAGGAACUGGAACGACCUCAACUUGGUCGACAGGGACAGGAACUGGAACGACCUCAACAUGGCCGACAGGAACAGGAACUGGAACGACCUCAACUUGGUCGACAGGGACAGGAACUGGAACGACCUCAACAUGGCCGACAGGAACAGGAACUGGAACGACCUCAACAUGGCCGACAGGAACAGGAACUGGAACGACCUCAACUUGGUCGACAAGAACUGGAACGACCUCAACAUGGCCGACAGGAACUGGAACGACCUCAACAUGGCCGACAGGAACUGGAACGACCUCAACAUGGCCGACAGGAACUGGAACGACCUCAACAUGGCCGACAGGAACUGGAACGACCUCAACAUGGCCGACAGGAACUGGAACGGCCUCUGCUUGGCCGACAGGAACUAGAACGGCGUCCUCCUCUGAGGAGCCGACAGGAACUGGAACUAGAACGGCCUCAAUAUGGCCGACGGGAACAGGAACGGCGUCCUCCUCUGAGGAGCCGACAGGAACUAGAACGGCGUCCUCCUCUGAGGAGCCGACAGGAACUAGAACGGCGUCCUCCUCUAAGGAGCCGACAGGAACUGGAACUAGAACGGCCUCAAUAUGGCCGACGGGAACAGGAACGGCGUCCUCCUCUGAGGAGCCGACAGGAACUAGAACGGCGUCCUCCUCUAAGGAGCCGACAGGAACUGGAACUAGAACGGCCGCAACAUGGCCGACAGGAGCUGGAACGGCCGCAACAUGGCCGACAGGGACUGGAACGGCGUCAACUCCGGAGCUGGCAUGA
ensembl:lncRNA